rnacentral:rRNA from 1 species
UCGGGCGGUAGAGAGAAGCUUGCUUCUCUUGAGAGCGGCGGACGGGUGAGUAAUGCCUAGGAAUCUGCCUGGUAGUGGGGGAUAACGUUCGGAAACGGACGCUAAUACCGCAUACGUCCCACGGGAGAAAGCAGGGGACCUUCGGGCCUUGCGCUAUCAGAUGAGCCUAGGUCGGAUUAGCUAGUUGAUGGGGUAAUGGCUCACCAAGGCGACGAUCCGUAACUGGUCUGAGAGGAUGAUCAGUCACACUGGAACUGAGACACGGUCCAGACUCCUACGGGAGGCAGCAGUGGGGAAUAUUGGACAAUGGGCGAAAGCCUGAUCCAGCCAUGCCGCGUGUGUGAAGAAGGUCUUCGGAUUGUAAAGCACUUUAAGUUGGGAGGAAGGGUUGUAGAUUAAUACUCUGCAAUUUUGACGUUACCGACAGAAUAAGCACCGGCUAACUCUGUGCC